ACCGGCCACCUGCGGCACUGGCGGGAAGGAUCUUCUGAGUUAGUUUUCCAGGGCGGUUCUGGCGUUCUGCCCUAUGUCUUUCGUAGUCCCUACUGUUUGUCUGACCAGAUAGAAGAACAGGUAGGUAUAUGCAUGGUUUGGCAUUCUGCUGGUUCCAGCCAGGCAGCGCCGGAGAGGAGUGGCACUCAAUGGAAACCAGCACAGGGGAUGGCGUGACCGCCGUGACGCAACUGAAAUAGGAGUAUCUCACAAGCAUGUGCCCAUUAGCCCAUUGAAGUUCCGGAACUACCGUGAAAAAACUUGCAAAAUAUGAGUUGAGAGUUAGGAUGGUGACAUCCAGUGUUUGGGAUCAGUGUUCCCCAUUCUCAUUUUUGGAUUGU
rnacentral:lncRNA from 1 species